GGCGACCGGCGCACGGGUGAGUAACACGUAUCCAACCUGCCGUCUACUCUUGGACAGCCUUCUGAAAGGAAGAUUAAUACAAGAUGGCAUCAUGAGUCCGCAUGUUCACAUGAUUAAAGGUAUUCCGGUAGACGAUGGGGAUGCGUUCCAUUAGAUAGUAGGCGGGGUAACGGCCCACCUAGUCUUCGAUGGAUAGGGGUUCUGAGAGGAAGGUCCCCCACAUUGGAACUGAGACACGGUCCAAACUCCUACGGGAGGCAGCAGUGAGGAAUAUUGGUCAAUGGGCGCAGGCCUGAACCAGCCAAGUAGCGUGAAGGAUGACUGCCCUAUGGGUCGUAAACUUCUUUUAUAAAGGAAUAAAGUCGGGUAUGUAUACCCGUUUGCAUGUACUUUAUGAAUAAGGAUCGGCUAACUCCGUGCCAGCAGCCGCGGUAAUACGGAGGAUCCGAGCGUUAUCCGGAUUUAUUGGGUUUAAAGGGAGCGUAGAUGGAUGUUUAAGUCAGUUGUGAAAGUUUGCGGCUCAACCGUAAAAUUGCAGUUGAUACUGGAUAUCUUGAGUGCAGUUGAGGCAGGCGGAAUUCGUGGUGUAGCGGUGAAAUGCUUAGAUAUCACGAAGAACUCCGAUUGCGAAGGCAGCCUGCUAAGCUGCAACUGACAUUGAGGCUCGAAAGUGUGGGUAUCAAACAGGAUUAGAUACCCUGGUAGUCCACACGGUAAACGAUGAAUACUCGCUGUUUGCGAUAUACGGCAAGCGGCCAAGCGAAAGCGUUAAGUAUUCCACCUGGGGAGUACGCCGGCAACGGUGAAACUCAAAGGAAUUGACGGGGGCCCGCACAAGCGGAGGAACAUGUGGUUUAAUUCGAUGAUACGCGAGGAACCUUACCCGGGCUUAAAUUGCAGAUGAAUUACGGUGAAAGCCGUAAGCCGCAAGGCAUCUGUGAAGGUGCUGCAUGGUUGUCGUCAGCUCGUGCCGUGAGGUGUCGGCUUAAGUGCCAUAACGAGCGCAACCCUUGUUGUCAGUUACUAACAGGUUUCGCUGAGGACUCUGACAAGACUGCCAUCGUAAGAUGUGAGGAAGGUGGGGAUGACGUCAAAUCAGCACGGCCCUUACGUCCGGGGCUACACACGUGUUACAAUGGGGGGUACAGAGGGCCGCUACCACGCGAGUGGAUGCCAAUCCCAAAAACCUCUCUCAGUUCGGACUGGAGUCUGCAACCCGACUCCACGAAGCUGGAUUCGCUAGUAAUCGCGCAUCAGCCACGGCGCGGUGAAUACGUUCCCGGGCCUUGUACACACCGCCCGUCAAGCCAUGGGAGCCGGGGGUACCUGAAGUGCGUAACCAGGGGGAGCGCCCUAGGGUAAAACUGGUGAC
rnacentral:rRNA from 1 species